UGUCCCACAGACCUUUUUCCAUCCCGGGUCGGCGAGCGCAGCUACCAGAGAGGCCACUGGGUUCCUUAGGUAAAUCUGUUUGCAACCCACGUUUGGGACCAGAAUACCCGAUGGCCUGCCUUGUGUCUCCCAUUGGUGGGUCCGGGUGGGGACGGUGAAGUAAAGGUGAAUUGCGGUGCAGAUUACUAACAGAGCAGGGGGUCUCUGUCUGCCACCUGAGGGCUGCCUGCUGGGAGACCCUCCAACUUCAUAGACACGAAGAGUGGAAAAGAACACGCCAGCCCCGGCGGCCGGCUCGGAGAUUAAACCCUGUUGGAAGGUAUGGAUGGUGUAUUUCUUCCGAUUCUGAGAUGUUGAUUUAGCUGUCCCAAACAUCACAUGAUGUGCUUCUCCAUAAUCCUGUACCCAAGUCAUUGCGGAUCUGCUGACAUGACUUUGGAUAUGCUGAGCCAGGGCAAAUAGAUUCUUUUGAAUUAUGCCAGUAGUGAGGAAGAAACAUGAGUACAGCUCUCAAAGUGGAAGAAAAGGUACUGAUUCUGCUCUGAGGACCAGUCCUGCGGAUGUGCAAGUUCAUCAGUGGUAGGACUAAAGUUUCUCCUGUCUUGUCUCUAACUUGAAUACACAUUCCACCCACAUUUUUGAGAGUACAGUAUCCUGAACUUGAAGUGUUUUCAAAUUAAUCUUUACAUUAAAUAAGCUAUGUUAAUUUUACCCACCCCAUAAUUCCCAUCCUUUUCUGCCUACAGUUCUCAGAAUUGUCAUUUACUAUUAUUUUGACCCAAGAAAAAUUUUUACUUAAAAAAUAUCUGUAGUUGGUAAUUUGUAGUAUUCAGAGUCCACGUAAAGUAAUACACAUGAACUCUUGUUGAACAUGAACCAUUACAUUCAAUAAAUCUUUUAAGGUGGUGAUUUGUCA
rnacentral:lncRNA from 1 species